AAAGAGAAGAAAGAUAAAGUAGAAAAGG
rnacentral:piRNA from 1 species